UCUGGCCUCUUCUGUGUGGUGAUCAACCCCUACAAGUACCUGCCCAUCUACUCAGAUAACAUCAUAGAGAUGUACAGGGGGAAGAAGAGACACGAGAUGCCCCCUCACAUCUACGCCAUCUCAGAGUCCGCCUACAGAUGCAUGCUCCAAGACCGAGAGGACCAAUCAAUUCUUUGCACAGGUGAAUCUGUGUGGCAAG